UUGUUGCAUUAAAGAAAGCUAGCACUCCCCUUGGCAAGGAUGGAAAAUGUCUGAAUGAUUUGCAACACAAAUACAGUUAAGGCACUACCACCUACUUUUGGUAUCUCUGACCAUAUUUGUUU